AUCAGAGUGCAAAAGGAAUAAUACAGAGCUAGGAAUAAUAGGAACUAUUGACAACAUCCUGGCUAGAAAAUGCAUGGGAAUGGAGAUGGGAAAAAAUGCAUUCUACCAUUUGAUAGCCCAGAAUGAAUAACUUUAAGAAAGGGCAGUGAAAUAACUUUUAUGAAGAUAUGCUAAACUGGAUAAAGGAUUUAACAUAAGACAAAGCCAGAAAUAGUGACAAAACAAAGUGUAGCAGAAAACAAAAGGAAUACUCUUGCGAAUAAAAACCAUGUUGGAAUACAGAACUAGUAAAAUAACUGUAUAAAAUGAAUUAUCAAUGCCUUCAUACAGAGCUUGGAUAUUGCAACAUAAACUGUAAUGAUAUUAUACAAAUGGGAUAUUAAAUGAAUUAUCAUUCUAGAUCUGAUUUAGCAACGUAAAGAUACAAACAAGUUUUUUUUAAACUUUGCUGGUUGUCUAGCUAAUAAUAAAUUAUGUUUAAUCAUA